ACCGCGUUAUAUACCUAUAUUCUUACGAUCUUGAUGCAAUGAUCCACGGUUCCGCAUAUUACCGGAAAACGGGCAAUUAUGUAAUCUGUCUGGUUAUGCAAUCGACGUGUGUAAUACACUAAGCAAUACGGAAGCGAAUUGAACAUUCUCCGGCAUGAUACGUCGGUAAAAAUUUGAUUAACGCUCGUACAGCAAGACUUAAGAUAUUAGAAUUAUAUCAUACAAUUAAAUAUAAUGAAAAUCAGUACUUGUGUAAAAAGUAAGAUUAAAUCUUACUUUUCAAUGGAAAAACAACAAUCUAAUAAAUAAUUUACAUAAUUUCUAUUCAAUUAUUAUCGUAAUAAUGUAACGUAUACAGAAUCUUGUCAUAUUAUUAGAUUCAUUAUUGAAUCAUAUUGUUUUUAAUGUUAUCGGUGAAUGACAAUUUUUAUCGGCAGUAACUUUUGAAAUAUUUGAGUAUUACCACUCGGGUGUAUAAUGAUUUUGAAUUUGAAAAUCGUAAUAUGACGGUUGUGCUAAAAAUUUUAUUAGUAUCUCUAAUUUUUUGGAAAAAUUCGUGAAAAUGGUCGAUAGGUGAUUUAAAACAGGGAAAACUCUGCCUGUUGUAAUGCAAUUCAGUGCAUACAUUUUACCGAUGGAGAUUUUUUUUUUUUUUUUCCACCAUAAGUGAUUGGAAAAAGUGAGGAAUUCGGCUAAUCGUGAAAAAUUAAGGAAUUGCGUAAAUUCAGGUGAAUUACCAUCCGGCUAAAAUAUUUUCACGAAUUUUCCCUGUAUAAUAAUUUACCCGUAUUUUAUUCAUGUGAAAUAUGUUGUUGUAUGUUUUGAAAAUCAAACUCUUACAAGGAGUUUCUAUUAUUAUCUUAUGUAUAAAAUUUUACAAUUAGAAACUAUGGCGCGAUAAUGUAUAUCGUGUAAAUAGUACGCAUUUACGAUUGUCAUUGUCUAUAUAGAUGAAUAUAUAAUAUACGAAUAUUUAUAAUU